rnacentral:rRNA from 1 species
AAUAUUGGACAAUGGGGGCACCCCUGAUCCAGCCAUGCCGCGUGUGUGAAGAAGGUCUUCGGACUUGACGGUACCCAUGAAGAAAGCCCCGGCUAACUACGUGCCAGCAGCCGCGGUAAUACGCAGGGGGCGAGCGUUGUCCGGAAUUACUGGGCGUAAAGGGUGCGUAGGCGGCCCUUUAAGUCAGAUGUGAAAGCCCGCAGCUUAACUGCGGAAUUGCAUUUGAGACUGGAGGGCUUGAGUGUCGGAGAGGGUAGUGGAAUUCCCAGUGUAGCGGUGAAAUGCGUAGAUAUUGGGAGGAACACCAGUGGCGAAGGCGACUGCCUGGACGAUAACUGACGCUGAGGCACGAAAGCUAGGGGAGCAAACA